rnacentral:lncRNA from 1 species
UGUUUGUGAUGACCAACAUAGCAUUUGAGUACUGACUUGUAAAAGACAAAUGUAUCUUCUCUUAUCAUCUUAUUUUAUUUAAUUUUCUAUACACCUCUAAAUAAAGUUUAUGAACUAUGGUAGCUUUCACACUACCUUCUUUUUCUUCUCUCUCUCUUUUUUUUUAGUGCUGAGCAUCCUGGCCUUUCCUUCAUCGUUUGAUGCGAAUCUCCACACUUGACUUAGGGGCAA